CCCCCUCCCCCCCAUACACAGCUUACCCGGGCCGGCCCCGCGCGCGCCGCCGCCGCCUCGCGCCCCCCCUCCCUUUAUGGCCGCCCCUCACCCGCCCCCCUCACGCCCUUUCCCCUCACGGCCUCGGCCAUGGCCGGGCCCUCCCGGAGAACGGCAGCGGCGCCGCGAAGAGGAGGAGGAGGAGGAAGAGGAGGAGGAGGAGUCGCACAGAUUCAAGAGCUCGAGCUCCAAGAGACGCAAUAAGCGAUUGUGUUUUGAGUCUUGGCAGCGCCAAAUCCAUGAGCAGAGGCUGGUGCCAACAGCAGAGUACAGGGCUGCACCUCUUUAACUCAUCUCAGGUUAUGUUAAUUGUGGAUUGCACCGUCUCGUGAAGAAUGAGUUCAGGACCUGCAUUUUCCUGUGACCUUGGGUAAAGCAGUUCCCUUUGCACAGCUGUAUUUUGACUGUUGUUAAAAUGGAAAUAAAGAUACCUUUUCUCUUUUCA
rnacentral:lncRNA from 1 species